rnacentral:rRNA from 1 species
CCAGUUUCCGCACAUACAAUCCGAACUGAGAAUGGACUUUAAGGGAUCUACCUCCGCCUCUACCCCUUGGCUGCCCUCUGAUACCACCCAUUGUAGCACGUGCGUAGCCCUAAACAUAAGGUGGCAUAGAUGAUUUGACGUCAUCCCCACCUUCCUCCAGGUUAUCCCUGGCAGUCCCUCUAGAGUGCCCAACUUAAUGCUGGCAACUAAAGGCAAGGGUUGCGCUCGUUGCGGGCACUUAACCCAACAUCUCACGACACGAGCUGCACGUACCACCAUGCACCACCUGUCACUUCUGUCCCCUAACGGAAAUCUCCAAUUAGGGAGAGGUCAAAAGGAUGUCACAGCUCUACGUAA